AUCAGCAAAUUUGAAUCUAAUGAUCAAGUGCUUUGAGUUUUGUAUAAAAGCGUCCUCCUCCAAACGGAAGGUAUCCAUUCGUUUUGUGUUCUUCUGUUUUCACACCCACAACAACCAAAACCAACCCAAUCAUCAUGAACUUCCUCGUCGCUCUUCUCUUCGCGAUGGUCGCCAUCUCCGCCGUGGUCGGUAUGCAAUCCGAGGAACAGACCCGUGACAAGCGAGCCGUCUUCUACAGCGGAUACGGAGGAUACGGUGGAUACGCUUACGCCCCAGCCGCCUCUUACUACGGAGCUUACGGAUACGCCCCUGCAGCCUACGGAGGCUACUACUGGUGAAAAAUGCAUUGACAGAUAUGCGCUUUUCCUCCACUUUCAUCAGAUGAUGUAGAUCCUACUUCUCAUCACUGUUAACCAGAUUGCAAUGAAAUAAAUUUCAAAAAAUUUACUGCA